rnacentral:rRNA from 1 species
AAUCCGGUUGAUCCUGCCGGACCCCACUGCUAUCGGGAUGGGACUAAGACAUGCUAGUCGUGCGCUUUCUAGCCAUGCUGGAAGCGCGGCACACAGCUCAGUAGCACGUGGCUAACCUGCCCUUGGGACGGGAACAACCCCGGGAAACUGGGGCCAAUUCCCGAUAGGUGAAGAUCCCUGGAAUGGGUUUUCGCCCAAAAGACGUUUGGGUCAUGCUUUCAGACGUUGCCCAAGGAUGGGGCCGCGGCCGAUCAGGUUGUUGGUGAGGUAACGGCUCACCAAGCCUUUGACCGGUUCGGGCCGUGAGAGCGGUAGCCCGGAGAUGGGCACUGAGACAAGGGCCCAGGCCCUACGGGGCGCAGCAGUCGCGAAAACUUCGCAAUAAGCGAAAGCUUGACGGGGCCAUCCCGAGUGCCAUCUGCUGAGGAUGGCUUUUACCCAGUAUAGAUAGCCGGGGGAAUAAGCGGGGGGCAA